GUGGGGAAUAUUGGACAAUGGGCGAAAGCCUGAUCCAGCGACGCCGCGUGGGUGAAGAAGGCCUUCGGGUUGUAAAGCCCUUUAAGCCGGGACGAAAAAAUCGGCGAUAACAUCGCCGGUCUUGACGGUACCGGAAGAAUAAGCACCGGCUAACUCUGUGCCAGCAGCCGCGGUAAUACAGAGGGUGCAAGCGUUAAUCGGAUUUACUGGGCGUAAAGCGUGUGUAGGUGGCUAGCUAAGUCGAUUGUGAAAUCCCCGGGCUCAACCUGGGAAUUGCAGUCGAUACUGGCAAGCUCGAGUUCGGUAGAGGGUGACGGAAUUCCCGGUGUAGCGGUGAAAUGCGUAGAUAUCGGGAGGAACAUCGAUGGCGAAGGCAAUCACCUGGGCCUGAACUGACACUGUGACACGAAAGCGUGGGUAGCAAACAGGAUUAGAUACCCGUGUAGUCC
rnacentral:rRNA from 1 species